CUGAAACCAUCGUCUUGAACCUAGAGAUAGAAACUGCAGACAAGAUGGAAAAUGACCACCUUACAGCCCUCUAAAUUUAGAAGACCUCAGUUGAAGUGACCAACCAAGCAUCAGAUACGCAGGCAAGAGGACUGAUUGCCCCAUCUUGGUCUUCUAGUCAGCUAAACUGAGAGGGAUCUUCCAAAGCUGCUUGUUCUGCCCAAGAGGAUGACAGUCCCAAAUAAAGAAGAACGACUCUUCAGUCAAGUAUAUUCAAGGAGCUCUGUUCUUCUGUUAGACCCUUGAAACAGACGUAAUUAAUAUGAGAUGUUUUUGGUAAGUAGGGGAGCAUUUUAGAUGAAAGAAAAAAAUGACAGACUGAAGAUCAGCACUUUGGGGAUCUUAUUGGGUCAUCCCCAGGAAAUGAAAUAACUGUGGUGAAGAAUGCUUUUCAUGUUGAGGGCAGGGGAUUCUUCAUGUGCAUCAGCUCUCCCCUGGUUUUCGCUUAUGUCCCACGCCCAGCAGUACAGGGGAAUUAUUAGUAGAAUGGACUCUAGAGACCCCUGAGUGACCCUCUCCGGGCCACAGUUUCUUCACUU